rnacentral:ncRNA from 1 species
GAAAUUUUUAUUUCAUUUACUCAUAUAUACCCUGAAUAAGGCAGGGAGUAUCUACCGGAAACCAUAAAUUACCGACUAUGAGUGAGAUUAAUUACUUU